rnacentral:rRNA from 1 species
AGAUUUGAUUUAAUUUUUAUUUCCUUCCUUUUGAAUACACUCCUUAAAAUUCUUUUUUUAGGGAUCAAAGUGUUUCAAAUCGUUUACUGUGAAGAAAUUAGAGUGUUCAAAGCAGGCGUAACCUAGCCUUUGAAUAUAUUAGCAUGGGAUAAUGAAAUAGGACUUUAGUUCUACUUUCGUUGGUUUCUAGGGCUGAAGUAAUGAUUAAUAGGGAUAGUUGGGGUCACUAGUAUUUAAUUGUCAGAGGUGAAAUUCUAAGAUUUAUUAAAGACUAACUACUGCGAAAGCAUUUGACAAGGAUGUUUUCAUUAAUCAAGAACGAAAGUUGGGGGAUCGAAGAUGAUCAGAUACCGUCGUAGUCUCAACCAUAAACUAUGCCGACCAAGGAUCCGGGGUUGUUAAUAUGGAUGACUCUCCGGGCACUUAUAGAGAAAUCAUAAGUAUUUGGGCUCCGGGGGGAGUAUGGUCGCAAGGCUGAAACUUAAAGGAAUUGACGGAAGGGCACCACAAGGAGUGGAACCUGCGGUUUAAUUUGACUCAACACGGGAAAACUUACCAGGUCCAGACACAGUGAGGAUUGACAGAUUGAGAGUUCUUUCUUGAUUCUGUGAGUGGUGGUGCAUGGCCGUUUCUAGUUGGCGGAGUGAUUUGUCUGGUUAAUUCCGUUAACGAACGAGACCUUAACCUAUUAAAUAGUUAUUUAAACUUGAUUUCUCGUAAAUCAAAUGUUUAACUAACUUCUUAGAGGGACUCUUCAC